rnacentral:rRNA from 1 species
UACGUAGGUGGCAAGCGUUAUCCGGAAUUAUUGGGCGUAAAGCGCGCGCAGGCGGUUUCUUAAGUCUGAUGUGAAAGCCCACGGCUCAACCGUGGAGGGUCAUUGGAAACUGGGGAACUUGAGUGCAGAAGAGAAAAGCGGAAUUCCACGUGUAGCGGUGAAAUGCGUAGAGAUGUGGAGGAACACCAGUGGCGAAAGGCGGCUUUUUGGUCUGUAACUGACGCUGAGGCGCGAAAGCGUGGGGAGCAAACAGG